CCCUGCCCCACCCUUUUCAACUGCCCUCUGGUGGCUGGCCUAGAAAGUCCGAGAGGGAGGCUGCAGGAACCCUACGCAGCCGCAAUGAGUCCUAGGAAGUCUGUAGUGGCGGAACGGCCAGGUAGUACCUCGCGCUAAGAACCUUCCUGAGCGCAAGCGCGGUGGAACUCGCUUGGGCUGUUCCGCGCACGGGACGCUACGGGUGACUGACAGACCUGAAAGGCCCAGAAAUGGGCCAGACCCAGGCCAUGAGGACAACUCAGGAAGUCAGGAAGCGGGAUUCUGUGGAGCAAGGUGUGGACCACCUGCAGCUAAGGGAAACGAGGACUUUGCCACCUCUGAGAAAGGUUCUCAGCUGGACCAGGUUGGUGGCCUGAAUGUAUUAGCUUCGCUGCAUCUGCUUAAGAGAUGGUUUAGGCAUUCUUCACUUCUACUUCCGGGUCGUCCAGAUUCUCGCCUGAAUUUGUGCCCUCAUCUUCAUGCUUGCGGUUCCAUGCUCCCCAGCUGCCCGAAUUACUCUCCCAGCCUCUUCUUUGCUAGUCAUCUGACUCCAGAUUCACCCACUAGUCUGUCCCCAACAGUCUCUGAUGGAUCUUCCUCCCUCAGAACCUCCCUCUCAGAAGUCUUCUGCCCACAACAUCAAAUCCAGCCUCAAGGUUUGUAUCUCUUCCUGCCCCGAUCUUUCUCAUCCAAGCUUCAGCUCUCCCUCCUUCCCUUUUCUUUCUUUCUUAUUUUCUUUCUCUUCUUUUUUUUUUUUUUUUGGUACUGGGGAUCAAACUCAGGUCUUUGAGCUUGCGAGGCAGGCGGCAGAACCAAACCUUCCCUAUUUUCUUAUGGCAGGAAAGAUACUUCCAAGUAGCUGGAUCUCAUUCUUGACU
rnacentral:lncRNA from 1 species